UAAUACGUAGGGAGCAAGCGUUGUCCGGAAUCAUUGGGCGUAAAGCGCGCGUAGGUGGCCCGGUAAGUCCGCUCUGAAAGUCACAGGCUCAACCUGUGAAAGCGGGUGGAUACUGCCGGGCUAGAGUCCGGAAGAGGCGAGUGGAAUUCCUGGUGUAGCGGUGGAAUGCGCAGAUAUCAGGAGGAACACCAACGGCGAAGGCAGCUCGCUGGGACGGUACUGACACUGAGGCGCGAAAGCGUGGGGA
rnacentral:rRNA from 1 species